rnacentral:rRNA from 1 species
CUCUUGAGGCGGUGCAGUGUGGUGUCGUCAUGAUUGCUUGCAAUGUGGCGAACACAGAGCAGUCAUGUUGGGACCCGAAAGAUGGUGAACUAUGCCUGAGCAGGACGAAGCCAGAGGAAACUCUGGUGGAGGUCCGAAGCGGUUCUGACGUGCAAAUCGAUCGUCAGACUUGGGUAUAGGGGCGAAAGACUAAUCGAACCAUCUAGUAGCUGGUUCCCUCCGAAGUUUCCCCCAGGAUAGCUGGUGCUCGUGUUGCAGUCUUAUCCGGUAAAGCGAAUGAUUAGAGGACUUGGGGACGAAACGACCUCAACCUAUUCUCAAACUUUAAAUGGGUAAGAAGU